rnacentral:rRNA from 1 species
CCAGCCCUACGGGGCGCAGCAGUGGGGAAUAUUGCGCAAUGGGCGAAAGCCUGACGCAGCGACGCCGCGUGAGAGAUGAAGGUCUUCGGAUCGUAAACCUCUGUCAGCAGGGAAGAACGGUCACUGUGCUAAUCAGCAGUGAAUUGACGGUACCUGCAAAGGAAGCACCGGCUAACUACGUGCCAGCAGCCGCGGUAAUACGUAGGAUGCGAGCGUUAUCCGGAAUUACUGGGUGUAAAGGGAGCGCAGGCGGGACUGCCAGUUGGAUGUGAAAUACCGCAGCUUAACUGCGGAGC